AUUGAACGCUGGCGGCAUGCCUUACACAUGCAAGUCGAACGGCAGCACGGACUUCGGUCUGGUGGCGAGUGGCGAACGGGUGAGUAAUGUAUCGGAACGUACCUUUCAGUGGGGGAUAACGUAGCGAAAGUUACGCUAAUACCGCAUAUUCUGUGAGCAGGAAAGCAGGGGAUCGAAAGACCUUGCGCUGAUUGAGCGGCCGAUAUCAGAUUAGCUAGUUGGUGGGGUAUAGGCCUACCAAGGCGACGAUCUGUAGCGGGUCUGAGAGGAUGAUCCGCCACACUGGAACUGAGACACGGUCCAGACUCCUACGGGAGGCAGCAGUGGGGAAUUUUGGACAAUGGGGGCAACCCUGAUCCAGCCAUGCCGCGUGAGUGAAGAAGGCCUUCGGGUUGUAAAGCUCUUUCGGCCGGGAAGAAAUCGCAUAGGCUAAUACCCUGUGUGGAUGACGGUACCGGAAUAAGAAGCACCGGCUAACUACGUG
rnacentral:rRNA from 1 species